AGCACAACAGGACAGAUGAAGUCGUUGCACAACAGGACAGAUGAAACUCAGACGCUCCACUAAAUCGAAAAGGACCAAAGCACUGAGUUCUACAAAGGAUUGUGGCCACAAUUAUCCACGUAGUAAAGCAGGAAUGGCAUCUCUGAAUAGUUGAAGACCAAAUCGCUGUCUUCUACAAAGAACUGCAGCCACAAUUCUCUGUGUA